GACUAUCACAUUGGCCAGUAGCAGGCCCACACUUUCCAUUGAAAUCCUGAUAGGUUUAUGUUGGUUAAAAUUGUUUUCAUUUUUAAAUAUUGUAUUGUUCUUUUGUUGUUGUUGUUGUUGUUGUUGCACUACAAAGAAGACAUGUGCAGUAUGCAUAGGAAUUUGUUUGUAUUUUUUUUUCAAAUGAUAAUUCAGCCCCUCAACAGUCUGAAGGAUUGUGGACCGGCCCUCUGCUUCAAAAGUUUGAGGACCCCUGGUUUAGACAUACUUCAACUAUUGGCUCUACCGUAGUUGCAGAAAUAUUUGGAACACACAAAACUGCAGAUUUAAAUGAUGUUCUGUGAAUUUUUAUCUUUUUAUAAGUGCUCAAGACUUUGUCUACAGUGGGACAGAAUGAGGCAGAUGCCCCAACUGGUCUACGUAUUGUAGAGCUCCUGGCUGUUCCCUUUUGCUGCUGGAGGGCAAACAAGACCUGUAUAUUCCAGACAGCUUGCCCUGUAUACUUCAGUUGGAUUGUUGGCUUCAGGUGCGGUGAACAAUGCUGCCUUGUUGAAGUAGGAUCUACAUUCUUGUCCAGGUUGAAUGGAGUGGCCCUAUUUUGGUCUUUAACUCAGGCAUACAUACUUACAUACAUACACGGGUUGAAUGAAAGCUUUGGGAGAUAUGAGACUUGCGAGGGUUGAAUGAAAAGUAAUGCCUCCACCUUCGUAACUCCUCAACAGAUGGCAAUACUGGUCUGCGGCAGGUACUGGCUUGUUCAGUAGACUCUCCUCUACAGUUCCAUUUGGCAGGAAGCCUUAGCACUGAAUGCUUGUGUUGUUAAAGUGUGACGUAUGGAACUCUGCGCAGACGGUCAGGCAAUGCGACUUAAGCAACAUGCAGUCACUGAAUUCUGGACAGCAGAAGGUGUCACUCCAAAGGAGAUUCAUCAGAGAAUGCAAGCUGUUUAUGGUGAUUGUGUUGAUGUGAGCACUGUGUGUUGUUGGGCGAGUAAGUUUAAAGAUGUUGAGGUGGGGACAUCUGACUUGUGUGACAAACAAAGAGUUGGACGUCCUGUGACAGCAACCACCGAGUUUCACAAGCAAAAUGUUGACAGAUUGAUUCAGGACAAUCGGUAUCACUCUGAGAGGAAUUUCAAGCAUAACCGGCAUUUCACAAGAAUGUGUGGGUCACGUUAUUGCUUUGGUUGGCUAUUGGAAGAUCUGUGUACGAUCGGUCCUGGGAGACGCCGGUUGCGGAAACAGAGUGUCGACUUCAUCCGUGACGGCUUCAGAAAACUUGUUCAUUGUUGGCAGAAAUGUAUCCAAUUGUCUGGUGUUUAUGUGGAAAAGUGAAUAGUGGUAGCUAAAGAGCACAUUAUAAGGAUUAUUUCUGCAUUUGAUUUAUUAAAAUAAUAUCACCCAAACCCAAGUAACGAAGGUGGAGGCAUUACUUUUCAUUCAACCCUUGUACAUUCAGUACACCUGAAAACAAAUACACACUUUUGGUUUGAUUUGAUGUGUCCUUGUACCUCUGAUUGACUUUUUCAGAAUGAAGACUCAAAUGAAUAAAAUUCCGGCUCUUGUCUUCUCAGCAAUACUUUUCUUAGUAGCAGUUGAAGGACUUAAAUGCCACCAGUGUCGUAGGAUCAGAAAUGAUAACACGUGUCCCAAACCACAAGUUUGUGUAGCACCUGCAAAUAAUUACUGCUUCAUUCAAAGGAUCUCCAAAGAGGGACGUAUUAGGAGAAUACACCGAGGUUGCACUUCAUACUGCCUACAAGCCAUCAAACUCAGCAACAGUUUUAUAAAGUACACGUUCUGCUGCAGAACAGAUUUCUGCAACAAAUUUCAUUCUUGGCUGUUUGACUAAGUGCAAUGCCUCCUCCGUUCCUUCAGCUUCUGUCAGCAUCAUGCCCAGUUCUGUGCAAUUUUUCACCAGAGACAGAUACACGGAGUAAUUGCAGCUCUGAAGAGGAAAGAAGGCUAUUUGUUAUUAAUCUUAGUGACUUUUAUAAGAAAGUCUGGGGCAUGCUAUCACUCCAAGUGGGCUUAUUCAUUCCUUGUUCUUCUGGUUUAUGCCUGAUUGACCCAUAUAUGCCUUCAAGUGUCAUACUUUUCUUAAAUGAGAUUCAUUUGUAACUCUCUUCAAAAUGAGAUAAUCUUACUUUUAUAAAUCAAUACAAUAAAAUAACAAAAUGAUGAUACACCUGGAUUGUGGGCUCAUUCAAUAUCCUACCCUUAAGAAAAUAUUACAU